rnacentral:misc_RNA from 1 species
UGAACAUCAGUGGCGCGCAGCCACGGGAGCAGCAGUGGGGAAUUUUGGACAAUAGAAGCCUGGUUUAGGCCAUCCGCGUGCGAUGAGGCCUUCGGGUUGUAAGCACUUUUGGCACAGGAGAAAACGGCACGGGAUAAUACCCAAUGCAGCAAAUAAGUAAGAAUGGCACCGGCCCAACUACAUUGCCAACAGCCGCGGUAAUACGUAAGGGUGUAAGCGUUAAUCGGAAUUACUGGGCGUAAAGCGUGCGCAGGCGGUUCGCAGAAGAAAGUCUUGAAAUCCCAGGCUUAACUUUAUGGAAUUCAUUUUUAACUACCGAGCUAGAGUGUGUCAGAGGUGGAAUUCCGCGUGUAGCAGUGAGAAAUGCGCCAGAUAUGCGGAGGAACACCGAUGGCGAGGCAGCCUCUGGGAUAACACUGACGCUGUGCUCGAAAAGCGUGGGAGCAAACAGGAUUAGAUACCCGGU